rnacentral:tRNA from 1 species
AAAAUUUUAGUUUAGAUAAAAAUAUUUCAUUUACAUUGAAAAGAUUAAUUUAUAUAGAUGGAAAAUUAAAAUUUUA